GACGAACGCCGGCGGCGUGCCUAAUACAUGCAAGUAGAACGCAGUUGCGAACGGGUGAGUAACGCGUAGGUAACUUCCUCAUAGCGGGGGAUAACUAUUGGAAACGAUAGCUAAUACCGCAUACUGUGAGAUGGACCUGCGUUGUAUUGGCUAGUUGGUGAGGUAAAGGCGCACCAAGGCGACGAAACAUAGCCGCCCUGAGAGGGGGAGAGGCAACACUGGGAAUGAGAAACGGCCCAGAAUCCUAAGGGAGGAAGCAAUAGGGAAUCUUAGGACAUGGACGGAGGUCUGACCGAGCAAAGACGCGGGAGUGAAGAAGGUUUUCGGAUCGUAAAGCUCUGUUGUUAGAGAAGCGGUAACUAACAAGAAAGGGACGGCUAACUACGUGCCAGCCGCCGCGGUAAUUC
rnacentral:rRNA from 1 species